AAGGUAACGAACCUCCGAAAAACGGCACUUCAGGGUAAGACCGAAUGGGGUAAAUGUCCAGCACAAGGCACCGGAUCAAAAAAACACCACAGAAACCCUUUUUUCCCCGGAGCCAACCGGGAGGGGCCGAAAGGACCUUAAUUACCGACGACAGGGUCCCGUGUGUGAUCAUUAAGCUUCGAGGCGCCAGGUGAUGAUGAUUAGAUGGCGUGCCGGCGGGUCGCGCGAACAGCACGCGAACAGCACCGCCCGACGCCCGGGGUUGAAAGCUGUCGGCUUUCUGUGCGUGUUUUCCGGGAACUGUUUCCCUAGGGCGGUUUGCACGCCAUCGCGCUACAUUUCGAUCGUCAAAAAAAAAGGAUGAAAAGGAACACUAUGUAGCGGCUGCGGCGGCGGCGUUCUCGGGACACCAUGGCCAGGUGUCGAUCGAUCGAGCCGUGUAGUACAACUUCUCGCAUCGUUUGAUGUGACCUCGAGUAUUCUUCACGGGGGGGUGCAGCACGCGCAGGCGAAGAGAAAUAGAAAUUUAAUUUGCUGCUACCAGCCCCCGGCAGCAGUUAUCGUGAGGGAGAUCGCGGUUUUACUUCUUGUAUAAUGCAGAAUAACCUGUGUUGGAGACUACUGGAAUCCAAAUCACAUAACAUUCCCGGAAGCUUAUCGAGUGUGUCGAUGGAAAAGAUUGAAGCAAAGGAGUGAGAGAGCUACAUCCCUUGUAAGGGAGCAAAAUCUAUUGCCUGGUUCUGUAAGCUCUAUUAGCUGGGAACAAACGAUUUGCCCAGAAACACUCUGCUCUGGAAUGGAGAACGCUCCUUGAACGCUAGAGUAAGAAGAAUGAGGAAACUGAGGAGUGCCGAAAAAUAUGCCAGCAUUAAUUUGUUCACCAAAAGAUGACGCUGUCAGACGCAGUCGUAAAAUGGAUUGAACACGACUAGCACGAAAAAGCGCUUCCAGCGCUCAUUACGAUGCGGCAAAUGAUCCACGCACACGCACACUUCAUAAAUCAUGCUCAAACGUCAAUCAUUCAAUUUACCCUUUUCUCUGACGCAUUAUGAACCUGCACCGGAAGAUGCACUUUACAGCUCGGGUGACGGUGUCGGAACGAAACGAACUGCUGUGGAAUAAAUGAUUUAACCGUACACCCUAC